rnacentral:lncRNA from 1 species
AAAGGUUCAGAAAGCCCACCAAGGCCUGGAACAGGAGCAAAAGUAAUCCAAAGGUGUGACUACUAUCUAGCCAGCCUGGAGGUCUUCCUCCUGAUCAUCAUCUUCCUGAUUCUUGGGACUCUGGAACCUGCUGUUUUCCCUUACCUUCCAGAAUGUUCUGUUCACUGAUAACCCUUGAACAAGUUACUUGACUAUGCAGGCAGUAUCUGCUCUGUACUAAUCAGGACUCUUUGGGAUGUAAGUGACAGAAACCCAACUCCAACUAGCUGAGGCACAAGGGGAAAUGUACUAGUUCCAAAAAGCGUGGCUCAGGCAUGUUCCCUGCUCUAUGUCUCUGCCUGUUUCUGCUGUCAGCUGCCAUCUCAUCUUCUGGACUGAUCUUCUCCACAAAGCAGGAAGCAGCACCACAGUUCACAUCUCCUGAGUUUGACACCAGAGAAUAUCUCAGACUUCUCACUAGAGCUGAGUUCAAAACGACUCAGGUAAUUCUCUGAUUG